GAGAAAGGAAGCCGACAAUAAGGGCCUCUGU
rnacentral:piRNA from 1 species